ACGGCCUCGCUGUUACUUCUCUUACAUCUCCUUCCACCGCAACCAGGAGGACAGAAGUCUCCAAAAAUCAGUGCAAGUGAUGCAGUUGAGAGACUUGUUGUCUUUCAUAAGUCAUGCUGCAGUUUAGAGGAGCAUCUCCGGGGUCAACAGGGUCUGCAGCCAUACCUCCUUGCUGUUGGGCGUCAGAGAAGCAAGAUUGACAGCUUCUACAUCGUCAUGGAUAAGUGCCUCAUCCCAUGCCAGACAAACGGUUCUCUUGGAGCAUUUGAUGAGCUAUUCAAAGCACAUUUUGUGAACAUUGUCUUUUCUCCUAUUCUCACUAUGGGUAUGACGAUAUAUUUGAAGCAUUUGAUUGUUGAACACCAUAGACUCUUUAAGUUCUUGUAUUCACAUCGAAAUUUGAUACCUAAGCAUCAUUUUAUGAUCCACUAUCCAUCUUCCAUUAGGAAAAUAGGUCCAUUGUUACAUAUGUGGUCUAUGAGGUUUGAGGCUAAACACAAAAUAUUUAAAGAAUAUUUUAAAAACUUUAAAAAUAUAACCAAAUCACUUGCGAAAAAGCAUCAGAUGGCCACAGCUUAUCAUUGGGAAACAAUAAGUAUUAAAGAAAAUGAGCAUGGGCCUCUCAAACCAUUUUCACUUAAAGAUGAAGAUGUGGUCAACAAAGAAAUGCUUCAAAUGAUUUCAUCAGGAGAUGUUUUCUCAACCAGCUGGGUUAGAGUUGAGGGUGUUGAAUAC